rnacentral:rRNA from 1 species
UGGUUCGCCCACAUGCCGAACGGCUCAGUAACACGUAGUUAAUCUACCCUCAGGUUGGGGAUAACCCCGGGAAACUGGGACUAAUCCCCAAUAGGAAAUAGGUACUGGAAUGUCCUAUUUCCGAAAGCUCCGGCGCCUGAGGAUGAGACUGCGGUGGAUUAGGCUGUUGUUGGUGUAACGGACCAACAAACCUAUAAUCCAUACGGGCGUUGAGAGACGGAGCCCGGAGACGUGUUCUGAGACAAGAACACGGGCCCUACGGGGCGCAGCAGUCGCGAAACCUUUACAAUGCCUUCACGGGCGAUAAGGGGAUCCUGAGUGCUCUAGCAUUGCUAGAGCUUUUCCAGAGUGUAAAAAGCUCUGGGAAUAAGUGGUGGGUAAGACGGGUGCCAGCCGCCGCGGUAAUACCCGCGCCACGAGUGGUGACCACGUUUAUUGGGUCUAGAGCGUUCGUAGCCGGCCUAACAAAUUCUCGGUGAAAUCCUGUGUAAAACACAGGAAGUGCCGGGAAGACUGUUAGGCUAGGGACCGGGAGAGGCUGAAGGUACUCCAGGGGUAGGGGUUAAAUCCUGUAAUCCCUGGAGGACCACCGGUNGGCGAAGGCGUUCAGCUGGAACGGCUCCGACGGUGAGGGACGAAAGCCAGGGGAGCGAACGGGAUUAGAUACCCCGGUAGUCCUGGCCGUAAACGAUGCCCGCUUGGUGUAUCAUCUCCUUCGAGGAGGUGAUGUGCCGUAGCGUAGGUGUUAAGCGGGCCACCUGGGGAGUACGGUCGCAAGGCUGAAACUUAAGGGAAUUGGCGGGGGAGCACCUCAAGGGGUGGAGGCUGCGGUUCAAUUGGAUUCAACGCCAGACAUCUCACCAGGGGCGACAGCAGUAUGACGGUCACUCUGAAGGGGUUACCUGACGCGCUGAGAGGAGUUGCAUGGCCAUCGUCAGCUCGUGCCGUGAGGCGUGCGCUUAAGUGCGUCAACGAGCGAGACCCACGCCCUUAGUUGCUACGCUAUUCUUCGGAGUAGCGGCACUCUAAGGGGACCGCUGGCGAUAAGCCAGAGGAAGGAGUGGGCGACGGUAGGUCAGUAUGGCCCGAAUCCCCUGGGCUACACGCGGCCUACAAUGGCUAGGACAAUAGGUUGCAACACCGAAAGGUGGAGCUAAUCCCUGAAACCUAGCCUUAGUUCGGAUCGAGGGCUGAAACUCGCCCUCGUGAAGCCGGAAUCCCUAG